rnacentral:rRNA from 1 species
GACGAACGCUGGCGGCGUGCUUAACACAUGCAAGUCGAACGGGCCCGCUCUCUUUUUUGGGGGUGGGUUGAGUGGCGAACGGGUGAGUAUCACGUGAGUAACCUGCCCCCUGCUCCUGGAUAACUGCUUGAAAGGGCGGCUAAUACGGGGUGUGCCGGCUGGUCCGCAUGGGCCUGGUCGGGAUAGUUUCAUCUUCGGGUGUUUCGGUGGGGGAUGGGCUCGCGGCCUAUCAGCUUGUUGGUGGGGUGAUGGCCCACCAAGGCGGUGACGGGUAGCCGGCCUGAGAGGGUGGGCGGCCACACUGGGACUGAAACACGGCCCAGACUCUUGCGGGAGGCAGCAGUGGGGGGUAUUGCACAAUGGACGGAAGCCUGAUGCAGCGACGUCGCGUGAGGGAUGGAGGCCGUCGGGUUGUGAACCUCUUUCUCCGGUGGUGAAGGCCCUGUCCGUUGCGGCGGGGUUGACGGUAGCCGGGUAUGAAGCGCCGGCUAACUACGUG